AAUGAAAUAAUUUUAAAUUAUCAUUUCAAAUUAUUUUAAGUAAACAUUAUUAGUAUAAUUUUUCAUUUAAAAAAACUGCAAAUCUGAAAAAAAGAAAAAAAAAACCAUAAAUUGAAAUCACUAAGGCCCUAACCCCCAAAUUGCUACCCCCUCUCUUCUUCCCUAACUGCAGUCAAGCCUGCCUCCAUCUCGCAGCCUGCCCCCAUCUCGCCACCGCGACCCGCACCGCCUGUGACGCUGCGCCACCCCAUCUCGCCGCCCCUGUCUACAUCACUAACCCUAGGCUCCGCGCUUCCCCUUCUCGCAGCCCCUGUCCUCGUCGCUAACCCUAGGCGCCGCGGUUUCCAUCUCGCCUGUCGUCUGCUAACCCUAGACGCGUUGCCUAGUCCCCGCUGCGCCACCUGCUCUCCGUCGCACCGCCUCCUUCAGCCUCGGCGUCUCCGUCAACAGACUCUGUAGCAGCAGUAGUUUCGAAGACCCAAUUUCCGCUGCAAUUAGAACCCAAUUUCCAAAUAUUUCCAUUUAUUUUGCGAAAUUAAUUAAGAUGAUAGGAAAUGGGCAGUUUACUUGAUCUUCGAAGGCGAUUCUUCUGAAAACUUGAUCAAUGGUUUUUAGGAUAAGCUGAAGGCGUUGAUAAGGCCUGGAGCUGGUGAAAAGACACCGACGGAGGGUGAUUAGGUUGACAGUGUUGUGAUAGUAGCUCGUGAAACUUCAUCUUUGGAGAAAUGAAAGCGAUUUAAUUCAUAUUGAUGCUUUCUGCAGGUUAUAUAUCAUUGUACAAUAUAGACACUAGAUGGGGUUGUUGUUGAGUCGACUCGAGCUGAUUUUGGAGGUAUUGGGCAAAAGCAAGAUCAUAGUGGGAUUGCUAGAAGGCAUUCCUACAAUGUUGAAAGGUGAAGUUGCAAUGGUAAGUUUUUUUAGAACUUGUUCUGGCUGAUUUCAUUUAUAACUUAAUGUGUAUUGCUUUAAUCUCUUUAUAUGCUCAUUUUCUUCAACUCCUAUGAUUGAUUAAUUGUUUCUUUUUCCUAGUGCAGAUUACCAAAUUCUUAUGGCAUACUUAGGAUAAAUUGAUUUGAGUUUACAUAUGAUUAUGCAGAUUACCAAAUUCAUUCACUUAUAUAUUUUCUUUAUCUCAAUCUAUAACUAUAUUCAUUCCCUAUAUUUUCUUGCUGAUUGGUGAAAUUGUUUUGGUAGGCAGACCAUAGUUCAGAUUCAGAUCAAUUCCAUCAUGUGUGCAUGUCUUAACUGAUGCUUCUCUUCAUAUGUUCAUGUAUUAACUGAAGCAGUUCGAGUUUCUCAAAAGGGCUUAUUUUUCAAGUUCAGAGCUUAUUUUUGCAAAGUAGAAUUCCAACUUAUGCAAGAAGAGGUGUUCAAGAAUUGAAAAGGCAAGUGAAUAAUUAAGAGGUGUUCAAGAACUGAAAAGGCAAGUGAAUUGUCGGAAGGACUCGUUAGAGAGCAGAAAGCAUACUAAGUCGAUGUUCAUAAUUUUAUUUUAGCUAUAAGAUAUUUGGUACUUUCAAUUUUCAAAAUAAUUGUAAUGAUGAUAUGUACUUGAUACUUGGUAUAUUCGGGUCAUAAUGUAUUAAUGUUUUGGAUGAUAUAUAUAUGUUAUUGAUGGUUUUAUUA